UCUCAUCCUGAAGCAAAGUUCUUAACCUGAAGCACUAUUUCUGGGUUAGUGGAGUCUGUAACCUGAAGCGUAUGUAACCCGAAGCGUAUGCAACCUGAGGUACCACUGUAAUAGAAUCUUAGAGUUGCAAAUCAUGUGGCCCACGAUGCAGGAAUCACAACAUAAGAUCUUGCUGGCUCAGAUCAACGCCCAACCAGUGUAGGAUCUCACCAUUUGCCAAUCUUGUCCAGCAUCUGGAUAUGGCAUGUGGCUUUUGACUUGGGGUUCUUUUCAUCCAAGUGCUUUUCAUGAGUCUCUUGGGAAGAAGAAGUGGUUUGCUGCUUGCAGUUGAAAUGCUGGUGUUUGAGAAGGAAGUAAAAUCCCACAAUUUUUUCUUUUACUUGCCAAAGAUCCAGAACAAACCUCCACUCCCCAGAACUUUCCCCAGGACACCGCUUCCGCCUUUGAAAUCCCGGACACAUGGCAGCCCUAAUUUUACUGAGACACCUAAGACCAUUAUUCAUGUUCUUUUAAAAUAAUCAUAAUUAUAACAAGUGUGCUUAUGCUAGUCACUUGUAUCCUAAGGAAAAAGGAACUGUAGGCAAGGGUGGAGGAGUCUACAAUUUUAUGGAAACUGGCUAAAUUUAUACCUCUCAGACUAGUACACAUAUAGGAACAUCAUUGCUUAUCUUUCAGGUUUCACAUUUCUGUCGAUCUUCUGGUAUAGUCUCAGCUCAAAAAAAGGACAAAAUGGUUUGAAAAAUACACCUGGUAGGAUAAAAUACACUUGAAAAUGCAUCUGUUAAGAUAAAAUGCAUGGCAGGGAGUGUGAAGGGGGCUUCUAAGGACAUUUGGUUGAACCCCUUUCUGAAGACUCAUUCUGGGGACCGAGAUAAGAACAGAAAAUUCGAAAUCACAGGGAGGCUUCUCAGUGUGUUCAGCCUGUCAGAGCUUUCUGCUUAGUAUGCAAAGAUCAUUGGUGGAACAGCUAUGGGAACAAUAUGGGCAGAGCUGGUGAGACCACACUCCACAAGGUCUCCACAUUUGUAGAUCAUUUUCGGCACUACGCUUCUGUCAUCUUCACAAAGCAUGAUUGCUGCAAUUGGAAAAUUGGGGGUGUAAAAGCUAUUACUUUAUAUAUGGGGAGAAAAGGGGGCAGGGCUGGCAAAGAUGAAGGUCCAAUCCCCUUCCCUAUUUCAGCUGUCAUGCAUUCUUCCUGAAUGCCAGAAAGGGGCUCAAACAUGGUCAGUUUCAGCAUUAUUUUGGUUUAUUUUAAAAAACAACAACAUGAAGAGCCAAAUGAGUAGCCUGGCACUGUGUUUCGAAUAAGUAGUUUGGUGUCUUCCUACUGCCAGCUGGAAGAAAAAAGAAACCAAAAGCGCUACUUACUUCUGUGUGCUAAACGGUUAAUCUGUUUAUUUAAAUGAGCAGGUGCCACCCCUUUCUGUGUGUAACCCAAGUUGUCCUCCUGGUUCCAGGAAGGAGAAGAAGGAGGGGGAGCCAUUCUGCUGCUAUGGUUGUGCUCCAUGUCCUCAAGGCAAGAUUUCAUCCGAAAAGGGUAAGAGACACAGGAUAUAUAACAUUGGGUAACAAUUUUUUACUUUUUGAAUGUUGUCUAGAUUUCUACAACUGAUGUAGGGUAUUUUGGCACUGCUGUAUCAGGAAAUGGCAUCCAUUUCUCUCCAUCAGGUCAGGUUUACUGUAAACUGAAUGGUGGGCAUUGAUAAAGGUAAGUACACGUAAAUUGCAUGUUGCUUCACCAUUUUUCAAACUUCAGGGCUUGAACUUCCGUUUCUUGGAACUCCUGGAAUGCUCAGUGGCAGGGAGGUCUCUCUUCAGAGUCCAACAGUAGUCAGCCAUCAUGACUGCGUCCCAGCGACCCUGAUACCUGGUCUCCAUCUCUUUCAUGUCCUGAUGGAAUCUCUCCCCCUGCUUGUCAUUCAUUGAACCCAGGUUCUCAGGAAACCGGUCCAUAUGUGAAAAUGGGUAGUGCAUCUUGACACUCAUGUUGCAGCCCAGGUUUUGGAUAGCAGUCAGCAUGUUGCUGACAAGUUCUGCGUAGUUUCUGGCCUUAUUGUUGCCAAUAAAGUUCUUCACUACCAGAACAAAUGCCUUCCAUGCUUCCAGUUCCACUUCGUUCAUUGACUUUCUGAACUCUGGAUCUCUGAUGAGCUGAAAGAUCUGAGGACCGUCAAAGAUGCCAGCUUUCAACUUCUCCAUGGUCAAUCCUGGAAAAGUCUGGCACAAGUAAGUGAAGCAGUCACCGUCCUUGUCCAGAGCCUUGGUGAACUGCUUGAUUAAGCCGAGCUUGAUGUGCAGCAGUGGGAAGAGUAUUCUGUCUCUGUCCACCAGAGGGUCGUCGAUGACGUUCCUUUCUUUGCAAGGCACCAAUUCCUCCCGCACAAGCCAGUCCUUCUUCGUGUAAUGCUGAGCACGGUCCCUACUAUCCCACAUGCACAGAAAACAUGGGUACUUGGUGAAGCCAGACUGUUGCCCCAACAAAAAGUUCACCAUCUUCAGGUCAACACAAAUAAACCACUUAUGCUGAUCAUAACCAAUUUUCUCCAGCACAUACUUCACCGCUUCAUAGUUCUCCUUCAGUGUACUCGAGUGAGCCAGGGGUAUAGAGGCAAACUGGUUGCCGUUGUGUAGCAGAACACGUUUCAGUGAUUGCUUGCUGCUGUCAAUGAACAGUCUCCAAUCUUUGGGUUCGUACUGUGGCACUCCAAGCUUGAGCAGAAGCUGCCCAAUAUCUGCACAGUACACCAAGUCCUUCUCUUCCGAGAAAAAACGGAGGUACUCUUGAUGCCUGUUGCGGAAGAAGCUGAUGCGAGCACUGUCAGAGAGGAGUUUUUUUUCCCUUCAAUCUGGAUGCCAACAGUUCGGCAGAGUCCUUUGACAAGCUGAGGUCGCUUACUAGAUCAUUCAACUCCUUUUGGGAAAAUGGAUGUGGAGCAUCAUCUUCAAGAACCACUUCUUCUUCUUCAUGUCCUUCAACACUGGAGGCAUCUUCGUCACUAAUGUCAGGAAGUUCUUCGAUGAUAGGCACUGGAAUUUCAUCACAGUGAGCUACAGGACGACGUGCUGAUUGAAGAUCAGGAUACUUGAGGCUGUUCCGGUUAUUUCUGUUGAUCCCAGCCGCACCAAUAUAUGGAAGAUUUUGAGGUUUUAUGACUUCAAACUGAUCCCUUUUCGACAUAAUCACCCAGAACUAUCGGAACUGAAUACUUCUUGUCAUUAAAAUAAUCAUUUCCAAUCAAAAGAAUUAUUUGACAUGGCAUUUUACCCCCACCAACUUCUUCUAAAAUGCUCCACACAAGCGUACAUGUGAACAAAAACGUUAAAAAAUGACAUGUGGCCAUAGCUCAAAAACUUGACCUGAUUGAACAAAACCAAUGUGAUUUUUGGAUUCAGCGCAUCAGAUUCAUCCUAAAUCAACUGAAAAAAUGCAGACAACAAAUUUGUUGUUGACCAGUGUAAUGAUUCAAGGAGUGAGAUUUAGAUUUCUUUCUCAUUCAAGUGGAAUAAUAAAAAAAAAUUCUCCUCCAUACCUGUUGGCAGAUAGACCCCAUAAAGGAUUAGGGACCCACUCCUAAAAAGAAUUGGUUUGACAUCAUCAUGUAAUCUUUGUCACAGGUUAAAAUAAAGGAGGCAAUUUUGAAUUCAAUGUACCAGUGAUAUGACUUAGUAUGAGACAAAUGUCUUAGUUCAGGCAAUAGCAAAUAAUCAUGCGUCUGAUUGAUGCGCGAUCGCACACCAGCGUGAGGUGGAAUGGGGUCAGCAUAGGGUGUGGGGGUGGAACAGGCUAAGAAUGGAACCCCUGUGCAAAAAGGUCAUGGACUGUAGCUGUUCUGAACAAUAAAAAAGUGGUUUAUGUGGAGUUAGCAAGUCAUCACAGGACACUCCACAUAACCGAACAAAAGUUCUGAGGCAUAGCUGUCAAUUUUCCCCUUUUCUUGCGAGAAUUCCUAUUUGGAAUAAGGGAAUAUCCCUUUUAAAAAGGGAAACGUUGACAGCUAUGUUCUGAGGUGGGAUUCUGAUGCAUCACUUUCAAUCUGGUUACCCUGGAAAUAACUGUAAUAACUCUCAUUUAACAUUAUGAGUUCCAUACUCGCAGUAUUAGUAGUUGCUCUCCAACACAUCCAAAAUCUGAAUGUAUUAUUUUCUUUCCAGACAUGGUUGACUGUGUUGCAUGCCCAAAGGACCACUAUCCACACGGGAACCAAUCACAAUGCAUUCCAAAGACCAUCAGCUUCCUGUCUGUUGAAGACCCUCUGGGGAUGAGCUUAGCAUUGUUGGCUCUUUAUCUCUCUCUCCUCACACUGGUGGUCCUAGCCAUCUUCAUUAAACAUCAGGACACACCCAUUGUCAGAGCAAACAAUCGGGACCUCACCUACACUCUCCUCACUUUCCUCCUGCUCUGCUUCCUCUGCCCAUUGAUCUUCCUCAGCCCUCCAGAAAGAGUCAGCUGCCUGCUCCGACAAAUGGCUUUUGGCCUUGUUUUCACAGUGACCGUUUCUUGUGUUCUGGCCAAAACGAUCACGGUGGUUCUGGCCUUUGUGGCCACCAAACCAGGAUCCAGAAUAAGGAAGUGGGUGGGGAAAAGACUGUCAAGCUCCAUUGUGAUUUCUUGUUCCCUUAUCCAAGCAGGCAUUUGUGCUGUGUGGUUAGUAACCUCUCCCCCAUUUCCUGAUUCUGACAUGCAGUCUGUGAUGAGGGAAAUCAUUCUAGGCUGCAACGAAGGGUCAGUUGCCCUGUUUUACUGUGUCCUGGGCUACAUGGGCUUUUUGGCCAUUAUCAGCUUUGUAGUGGCCUUUUUUGCCAGGAAAUUGCCUGAGAGCUUCAAUGAGGCCAAAUUCAUCACCUUCAGCAUGUUCUUGUUUUGUAGUGUUUGGAUCUCCUUUGUUCCGGUCUACCUGAGCACCAAGGGGAAAUACAUGGUGGCUGUGGAGAUCUUCUCCAUCUUGGCCUCCAGUGCUGGGAUACUGGGCUCCAUCUUUGCCCCCAAAUGCUACAUCAUUGUGUUGAGGCCUGAUCUGAACAGCAAGGAUCAGUUAAUAAAGAGGAAAUAAUAAAUUAUACCAUCAUCUUUUGGGUUUUUUCCACCAAACCAUGAGCAGUUUAAUCUCUCUUUAUCCACACCAUUCAGUUAUGUUGUUUUUUACAUGUUGCACUUCCUAUGUGCAAUUUCUUUUAAAAUCCCCUGUGGUUUCUCUGAGACAGGAGCCCCUCAUCUUGUUUUAACCCUA
rnacentral:lncRNA from 1 species